rnacentral:lncRNA from 1 species
CUGGUUAAUACAAAUAUUGAAUGUUAUAAUAAUUAUCUUGCAUUUCAAAAUUGAUUAAUACAUACUGAAUAAUUGGGAUUAGCAAAUUAAAGAAUUAGCUCUUGCAUUAUAUAAGGUAAUAAAUCAUUUCUUCAUUCAGUUUAUAUAAAUAUUUUGCUUGCUCCAGUAAGUCAUUCUUAACCUUAAAAAGUAUAAUGGGAUAACAGUUCAAUCAAUGGAAUUAAAAGAGUUAUCUGUCCCUGUGAUUUUAUAGGUAGAAAAUAAAGAUAAAGAUUUAAACCAGCAUAGUACAAACAACUUAAAGAGAUUUGUUUAAUAAGAAAAAUUACAGGUAUGUUAAAGGGGC